UACGUAGGGUGCUAGCGUUGUUCGGAAUCACUGGGCGUAAAGCGCGUGUAGGCGGCCUGUUAAGUCUGAUGUGAAAGCCCGGGGCUCACCCCCGGAAGUGCAUUGGAAACUGCCAGGCUCGAGUCCCGGAGAGGAGGGUGGAAUUCCUGGUGUAGCGGUGAAAUGCGCAGAUAUCAGGAGGAACACCGGUGGCGAAGGCGGUUCGCUGGGCCUGUACUGACGCUGAGGAACGAAAGCGUGGGGAGCGAACAGG
rnacentral:rRNA from 1 species